UCUCAUGGAUGAGCAAAGAAAGUGAUUUAUUAAGAAGGAGUCUUCUGAUGAAGAUGCUGUGAU
rnacentral:pre_miRNA from 1 species